rnacentral:rRNA from 1 species
AUUGAACGCUGGCGGCAGGCCUAACACAUGCAAGUCGAGCGGCAGCGGAAAGUAGCUUGCUACUUUGCCGGCGAGCGGCGGACGGGUGAGUAAUGUCUGGGAAACUGCCUGAUGGAGGGGGAUAACUACUGGAAACGGUAGCUAAUACCGCAUAACGUCGCAAGACCAAAGAGGGGGACCUUCGGGCCUCUUGCCAUCAGAUGUGCCCAGAUGGGAUUAGCUAGUAGGUGGGGUAACGGCUCACCUGGGCGACGAUCCCUAGCUGGUCUGAGAGGGUGCACAGCCACACUGGAACUGAGACACGGUCCAGACUCCUACGGGACGCAGCAGUGGGGAAUAUUGCACAAUGGGCGCAAGCCUGAUGCAGCCAUGCCGCGUGUAUGAAGAAGGCCUUCGGGUUGUAAAGUACUUUCAGCGGGGAGGAAGGUGUUGAGGUUAAUAACCUCAGCAAUUGACGUUACCCGCAGAAGAAGCACCGGCUAACUCCGUGCCAGCCGCCGCGGUAAUAC